AACGCACGAGACCUGCGGACCUGCGGAGGGAUCAUUACCGAGUGCGGGCCCUCGCGGCCCAACCUCCCACCCUUGUCUCUAUACACCUGUUGCUUUGGCGGGCCCACCGGGGCCACCUGGUCGCCGGGGGACGUCGUCUCCGGGCCCGCGCCCGCCGAAGCGCUCUGUGAACCCUGAUGAAGAUGGGCUGUCUGAGUACUAUGAAAAUUGUCAAAACUUUUAACAAUGGAUCUCUAGAUC
rnacentral:misc_RNA from 1 species